rnacentral:rRNA from 1 species
UACGUAGGGUGCAAGCGUUGUCCGGAAUUAUUGGGCGUAAAGAGCUCGUAGGCGGCUUGUCGCGUCGAUUGUGAAAGCCCGGGGCUUAACUCCGGGUCUGCAGUCGAUACGGGCUAGCUAGAGUGUGGUAGGGGAGAUCGGAAUUCCUGGUGUAGCGGUGAAAUGCGCAGAUAUCAGGAGGAACACCGGUGGCGAAGGCGGAUCUCUGGGCCAUUACUGACGCUGAGGAGCGAAAGCGUGGGGAGCGAACAGG